UACGGAGGGGGCGAGCGUUAUUCGGAAUUAUUGGGCGUAAAGGGCGCGUAGGCGGCUGUACAAGUCAAAGGUGAAAUCCCUCGGCUCAACUGAGGAACUGCCUUUGAAACUGUACGGCUUGAGGCCGGGAGGGGGUAGCGGAAUUCCCAGUGUAGCGGUGAAAUGCGUAGAUAUAGGGAAGAACACCAAUAAAGGCGAAGGCAGUUAACUAGUCUAUUCCUGACAUUGAGGCAUGAAAGCGUGGGGAGCAAAACGG
rnacentral:rRNA from 1 species